GAGGGUGUCGCGCACCGGGUACAGCGGGCCGGCAACCUGUUCAGCUUCGUGUUCGGCGAGGAGGCGCAGGGUUCGGCUCCGCGCACCUACGCC
rnacentral:tRNA from 1 species